rnacentral:rRNA from 1 species
UAGGGAAUCUUCGGCAAUGGGUGGAACCCUGACCGAGCAACGCCGUGUGAGUGAAGAAGGUUUUCGGAUCGUAAAGCUCUGUUGUUAAGGAAGAACGAGUGUGAGAAUGGAAAGUUCAUACUGUGACGGUACUUAACCAGCAAGGGACGGCUAACUACGUGCCAGCAGCCGCGGUAAUACGUAGGUCCCGAGCGUUGUCCGGAUUUAUUGGGCGUAAAGCGAGCGCAGGCGGUUAGAUAAGUCUGAAGUUAAAGGUAGGGGCUCAACCGUUGUGGGCUUUGGAAACUGUUUAACUUGAGUGCAGAAAGGGAAGGUGGAAUUCCAUGUGUAGCGGUAAAAUGCGUAGAUAUAUGGAGGAACACCGGUGGCGAAAGCGGCUCUCUGGUCUGUAACUGACGCUGAGGCUCGAAAGCGUGGGGAGCGAACAGG